CGGGAUAUGGCGCAGCUUGGUAGCGCGCUUGACUGGGGGUCAAGAGGUCGUCGGUUCAAAUCCGGCUAUCCCGA
rnacentral:tRNA from 5 species